rnacentral:sRNA from 1 species
AUACAGCGUGUGACCAGCAAUACAAUG